UUCAAUGUGUUAUUGCUGGCUUGAAAAUGAAGGGGACAGUGUUAUUUCUUAUGUGCUAUACAGAUAGUUGAAGGUUAUUUAGCAGUAUAACUAUAAAUAGUAAUGCUGCCAGUCUCCUUCAGACAAGA
ensembl:snoRNA